rnacentral:lncRNA from 1 species
GUGCGGCUAAGUAGUUUGGUUUUUGUUUGGUCUAGCAAUUUUCGACGGCAAAACUGCAGCUGGCAGUCCUCAGCUCCCCAGCUCCAGCAAUCAUUUAGUAAGUAAUCGAAAGGGGGCAGCAAACAUAGGGGUAAAAGCGAUGCAGCAAUACAAAUUAUGGCAAGAACUUGCAUGCAAAAAAAAGUGUAGAUACAAAGAAAGAAUUGGUUGUGCUUGGCGUAAGCAAAGAAAGAAUUGGAUGUUGCUUAGAGUUGAAGUGGAUAUAAUUUGUGGAAAAUUCGAAAUUUUAGACUAAUUUUGAUAAUAUUUAUAGGCGCACUUUUCUAUUAAAAUUUGUUGUAAGAAAUUUGCAUAAAGUUUUUGAUAGGAAUGACAGCAAAAAAACUGCCACAAAAGUUAUUCCUGCAACUACAAAAAAGUUUACAAGGAAAGAAUUGGAUUUGCUUAGAGUUGAAGUGGAUAUAAUUUGUGGAAAAUUGUAUAUAAAAUUCGAAAUUUUAGACUAAUUUUGAUAAUAUUUAUAGGCGCACUUUUCUAUUAAAAUUUGUUGUAAGAAAUUUGCAUAAAGUUUUUGAUAGGAAUGACAGCAAAAAAACUGCCACAAAAGUUAUUCCUGCAACUACAAAAAAGUUUACAAGGAAAGAAUUGGAUGUUGCUUAGAGUUGAAGUGGAAAUAAUUUGUGGAAAAUAAUGACUAAGUAAAUUUCAAACUAUGAACAUUUUUUAGAAGAAAUUUUCAUAAUUUUUGCCAUCAGAAUUGCCACAAAAAAAACUGCCACAAAAAAGUGCUACCAAAAGUGUGGUGGAUAUUCUAUUAAAAAACAAAACAAACAAAUUUCAAAUGAAACACAGAGUUGCGCCUAUAUAAAUGUAGUCUCAUAUUACAGACUGCACCAAAGUCUAAUUAGAGUUUGCUGAAGAGUUACGUUACCUCCCAGGGGGAUUAAACAAAUUGAGUGCGACACUCGGCAGCAACUAGCCAUCAAGCGCGGUGAGGCUGUCAGUCGCUGACUAACUCCACGACUAACCAUAUAGAGAUAUCCAUAGCAGGCACACACACACACAAUUUAGUAUCUUAUCUAACGAAUCGUUUAGCAAGUAUAACCCGUUUGGCUGCUGACUGGGACUUGUCCCGCGAGAUCUAUGAAUGAAAGCGAUUGCCCGACAGCGAGCGCUGGGAGACCCCUAGUCGGGCUCUAUGCUAAUCGCUGGGGCUUAUAAUUAAUUAAUUAGGCAGCUAGCAGCUAGCCAUGAUCCGCAGAAGGGAUACAGCUCAGCCUCUCGCUGUGCAAGUUUGUGGCCCAAGUCUUUUGAUUUUGCUUGCGAGUCUCCGCGCUUUGGGUUCACUUUUUUUGGUGUCUUGCUGCUGGGCUUGAUUGUUGUUGCCCGGCGAAGCGUCAGAAAUUUAAUCAAAAUUUUCAUAAACGCUCUCCGCACCAAAUUGCACAUUUAAUGACAAUAAUUUACGUAAUGGAUUUUCAUGUUCUCGUAAUUGAAUUUAUUUUAAUUUAAACUAAAUUGCACAACGCGUUUCACGAAUGGGGUUCUGGGCACUGUGGCAGUGGAUCUCUGGAUGUCUGUGGCCCCAACGCAGGCAACGGAAUGUAUAAUUUUAUGCGCUCUCGCGGCCGCUCCACUAAUUGAUUAUAAUUCUGUCAGUCGCCACCGUUGCAGCCAGGCGACCUGCCACUUCAGCUGCCCAUGUGUCCCAGAGUCGUCGAGUCGUCGAGUCGCCGAGUCUCUGGGUCUGCUCCACAUUUCGCGCAUUAUUUCGCGCUCGUUAGCCGGGCUUCAGGCUGCUGCUGCUGCUGCUGCUGCAACAUCACCAUACACAAUCCCCAACCCAUGACCAAGCCCAUCAUCAUCGACAGCAUCAGCCUCUCGAACGGCAGUGCUCCAUCAUCAGUCAGUGGGCUAGAGAUGAGUGCGUGAAUUGAUUCUUUCAUGAUGUUACAGUGACUGUAGGUGCCAAAAUGUAGACAAAAAUACUCUUAAAAGGCAGCGCAACUAUUUUGAUACUUUUUAGCUAAAGUUCUCUAUGAAUUAUUCAGCUAUCUUCAUGGCGAGGCACGUAUUUCUCUAGAGAACAAAUUGCGACUACUUUUAGCCGUAUUUUCCAUCUCUGACUCACGCGCUCAUCUCUAGCUGUAACGCGGCUGCUGCUGUGUGCCUGGCAGGUGUUUCGGGCGAUCGAAUCCAGCGAUCGAUUCGCUUCUUCGUGGCAGCCUGUUCAUAAAUACUCAUCGCCCUGCCUGGUGUCCACUGAGGUCUGCUGAGGUGUUCUGUAAAACUGUUUGAUGGAUUUCAUAAUAGUCGGGCAUUAUGUUUGCUUCCGCUGUCAGGCGAUGCUGUUGCCGCAGUUUACUUUUUAUGAAUGUCAAUCGUUUUUUAAUUAAUUGCAGUCCAUUUUCGGGCAGGCAAACCGCCUCCCCGCCCUACUUUAUGGGCAAAAAAAAAGGGAAUGAAAAUUAUAAACUGCUUUGGGGCAUUGCAUAAAUCUGUAUAUUGAUGGGCGAUCAUUUCGUUUCGAUCGUAAAAAUGUGUCUCUCUCAUUUUGAUGUGCCAAUAACAAUUCUCUCUAUGAGCCAUUAAAAAUAAUUCCCCAAAUUAAAUUCCGAUUCGCUGAUUUGCUGUAUGUGCCGAUCGUCUCGUCUCGUCUCGUCUCGUCUGCGUCUCUCUGCAGUUCAUUAAAGGCGCUUAAAUUGUAUUUCAAUGCAGUGUCCGGAGGGGGUCCACACGAGCGCCAGAAGCGCACAAAUCCAAUCAAAAUGCACACCGAAGAAGACGCCGCUCCACAGCCAGAGCCAGAGCCAGAGCCAGACCUCGAGUCGGUCGAAGUCGUCUUCGACCCCCUGUUGGAGUCAUUGUCGUAAAUCACACAUUAAAAUAUUUAUUUGUAUUUUUAGUUGUUCAAAAAUUAGCUAAGAGCCCCCCCUCUGCUCGAACUGGACGGACCCUGGCCUCCAGGAACAUCGAUCGAUCGUCUUGGCUUCGGUCGUCGCUCGUCGCUGUCGGAGACGGGACGCUGGGCUUUUGUUGUUCGAGUGAAUUUUAAUUUCCUUUUUAUGAUAUUUUAAUUUAUUUCAGCGUAAAUCAAAACCCAAACGAGGCCUCCCGCCCGCUGCCCGCUGCCCGCUGCCCGAUGCAGGGGCUGCACUUUUAAUAAAUUAGAUUACUCUUCAGCUCUGCAGAUCGUCUCGGGCGUGGAGGAGCUCCUGCCAACGGCGCUUCCCCUCUCGGACAUUCGCGCGAACUGCAUAAAUCUUUGGCCCUACUCCGCUAAAGAGGCAAAGGCCGAGGCGGCAGCGGCAUCCUCUCUCCUUGGUGGCUAACAAGCUCGCAAAACACUCUGAGGAUCUGCAUCUGGAUCUGUGGCAUGCAGACCAAAGAUUGCUUUUUCACAGCUUGUGGUACGUCCGGCGGCUUAUUAAUUUGACGUUUCCCCUUCAGUUGCAGCAGCAGUCCAAGGACAGCGGCCGGGCUGGUUAACGGUGCAACAAUUUGUACACUUUUACAGCUCCCCAUUGGCGUGUGGGCGUGGCCAGGUGGAGGGAGGAGGAGAGUUCAUCCCACAGCAAAUUGAUUGACUUCUGUUUACAGAGGAGCGCCAGAGACAGUCAUCAACUGUUUGAAUUUUUGUGUGUCCACUGUUUCAAGGAAGUGGUGGAAAGAAAAUGCAGACAUUCAAUUA